rnacentral:rRNA from 1 species
UACGUAGGGAGCAAGCGUUGUCCGGAAUCAUUGGGCGUAAAGCGCGCGUAGGCGGCCUCGUAAGUCCGUUGUGAAAGUCAAAGGCUCAACCUUUGAAAGCCGAUGGAUACUGUGAGGCUAGAGUCCGGAAGAGGCGAGUGGAAUUCCUGGUGUAGCGGUGGAAUGCGCAGAUAUCAGGAGGAACACCAAUAGCGAAGGCAGCUCGCUGGGACGGUACUGACGCUAAGGCGCGAAAGCGUGGGGAGCGAACGAGG